GGAAACGACUGCUAAUACCGCAUAACGUAUCGGGAUGGCAUCUUCCUGAUACCAAAGAUUUUAUCGCUUAGAGAUGGGCUCGCGUCUGAUUAGAUAGUUGGCGGGGUAACGGCCCACCAAGUCGACUAUCAGUAGCCGGACUGAGGAGGUUGAACGGCCACAUUGGGACUGAGACACGGCCCAGACUCCUACGGGAGGCAGCAUG
rnacentral:rRNA from 1 species